GAACGUAUAUUAAAGUUGUUGCGGUUAAAAAGCUCGUAGUUGGAUUUCUGUUGAGGGCAGCGCGUCUACCUUUUGGGUAAGUAUGUUGUUUGACCUCGGCAUCUUCUUGAGAAACGAUGUUGUGCUUGAUUGCAUGAGUCGCGGCUCAGGACUUUUACUUUGAGGAAAUUAGAGUGUUCACGGCAGGCAAUCGCCUUGAAUAUAUUAGCAUGGAAUAAUAAUAUAGGAUCUUGGGUCUAUUUUGUUGGUUUCUAGAGCUAAGAUAAUGAUUAAUAGGGACAAUUGGGGGCAUUCGUAUUAACGCGUC
rnacentral:rRNA from 1 species